AUUGAACGCUGGCAGCAGGCCUAACACAUGCAAGUCGAACGAGUGGCGGACGGGUGAGUAAUGUCUGGGAAACUGCCUGCUGGAGGGGGAUAACUACUGGAAACGGUAGCUAAUACCGCAUACCAUCGGAUGUGCCCAGAUGGGAUUAGCUAGUAGGUGGGGUAACGGCUCACCUAGGCGACGAUCCCUAGCUGGUCUGAGAGGAUGACCAGCCACAUGGGAACGGAGACACGGUCCAGACUCCUACGGGAGGCAGCAGUGGGGAAUAUUGCACAAGGGGCGAAAGCCUGAUGCAGCCAUGCCGCGUGUAUGAAGAAGGCCUUCGGGUUGUAAAGUACGUUCAGCGGGGAGGCGUUACCCGCAGAAGAAGCACCGGCUAACUCCGUGCCAGCAGCCGCGGUAAUUC
rnacentral:rRNA from 1 species